rnacentral:rRNA from 1 species
UGAGCAAUCUGCCUUUCACUCUGGGAUAACCCUCGGAAACGGGGGCUAAUACUGGAUAUUACUUCUGGUCGCAUGGCUGGUGGUGGAAAGUUUUUCGGUGGAAGAUGAGCUCGCGGCCCAUCAGCUUGUUGGUGGGGUAGUGGCCUACCAAGGCGACGACGGGUAGCCGGCCUGAGAGGGUGACCGGCCACACUGGGACUGAGACACGGCCCAGACUCCUACGGGAG